GAGUUUUCUGCUUACCUGAGGCCUUCUAAAGCGUCUGGUUGGAGCCUCAGGAUCAGCCCAUAGUGAGAGCAGGUCUGGGAAGGAGAGCACCAAUGAAUAAUUCCCACAAAGAACGAUAAACUCAGACAGGACGAAACCAUCCUUCUGUGUCUCUGCACAGACAAAUAUCGGCAGCGAGGUGUGGGCUGGGCUGGUUUCCUCUGAAAUACCAGAGCAAAGUUGUCAAUUGAGACACUUCUAAACAUGUUUGUGAGUGCAACAGCUGCAGAAAAUGAUUCCAUGCUGUGGUUACAUCACAGCACACUGGUAUCCAAAGUAAAUUCCUGUUUGAAAAUGUAACAACUGCACUCUAUCAUUAUACACCAGUCUUUGAUCCACUUACUGUUCCAAUCAUCGCACAUGAAGAACAGCUUUAUUCCACCCACAGCACAAACAUGUGAAGACACUGACAGCGACAGCCAACCCUGCUGAGCCACGAUCCUCUUUGUAUCACACCUUUACAACAGAGCAGUAUCCCAAUGGUAGGAAUAAGUAAAAGAUAUUUAACACUUUAAUAUCCUUCCCCCUUUCUGCCAGGUCUCACCAUUCCCACACACCGACGUGCCUUGGGAAAGCAGCAGUGUACAUUUAGUUAUCAUAGAGCUGAGUCAUGGAUUGGUUUUUGCUGACUCAUAUAUUCAGAUAAAACACCCUCACUUAAUUAAUCUCCAUUUCAACAGUAAUGGUUACAGUUACACACUUUGCUUUUUGUUUCAACAUGAAAGAACUUGAAACAGAUCAACCCUUCUGUGCCUGUGAGCUGACUUCAAUACAGAGAUACAAAUCAUGUAACACAGUAGGAGGUCGUUCAGUGUCAGCUGUACAAACCUCUCACCCGGAUUAAACAAAAGAAGGAACAACACGGGCAGUUAUUCCUUGUAACAAAACCGAACACAAACAUGUUAACAUCAAGAAUCCAUUAACUUCUCCUAAAUUGCACAUUCCCAACAAGCAGGAUGAAGUAUUUCACCUUUUAAAAGAAUCCCUGUGUCAAAGUGCUGCUGCCUGAUGACACAACAAAGUCAUUUUGCAGCUCCUUUCAUACGUGUUACCUCAGUACUGAAAACAUCUACUUCAAAAUAUCUAUCAAAACAAGAACAUUCUCACACCAUCAUAUCGUACAGCACAGAACUCAGCAAUAGAACCCGACUGCAAAAUCCUCUUCUCAUGUCUUCUGCUCUUGUUUAGAGUAUUUGGCAUAGGCACUUGGUACGAGUUAUUCCACGUCUGCUCCCAGCAAGUACCACACAAAUUAGAUAAGGUACAAAACAUUGUAAGACUCCAAAUAUCGAAACCAAGAGAAAUA